UUGAAAGGGAAACGAUUGAAGUCAGUCAUGCCGGUGGGAAUCAACUUAGGGGAAACUCUAGGUGCACUUCUUCGCUUGGCAGGUCAACGUCGAUUUUGAAUGUCAUAAAAUAAUUGGGGGAAGGUAGCUCCUUCGGGAGUGUUAUAGCCCUUGAUAGAUGUGAUGUUUGGGGUCGAGGAUUGCAACGGAUACCCUCUGGGGCUAGCCGCCUGAUCUCUAAUCGGUGUUGGGUUACGGAUAGCAUGCUGACCGUGAUCUAAUUACUGGUUAAAAGGUUAGAGCGUGUAUAAAUUCGUUAAGGAUGUUGACGUA
rnacentral:rRNA from 1 species